AUUGAACGCUGGCGGCAGGCCUAACACAUGCAAGUCGAGCGGAGCGGCGGACGGGUGAGUACUGCCAAGGUAUCUGCCUGGUAGUGGGGGAUAACGUCCGGAAACGGGCGCUAAUACCGCAUACUAUCAGACAAGCCUAGGUCGGAUUAGCUAGUUGGUGGGGGAAAGGCCUACCAGGGCGACCAUCCGUAACUGGUCUGAGUGGUUGACCGGUCACACGGGAACUGGACCACGGUCCGAACUCCUCCGGAAGGCAGAAGGGGGGAAUAUUGGCAAAUGGGCGAAAGCCUAAUCCAGCCCUGCCGCGUGUGUGAGGAAGGUCUUCGGAUUGAAAAGCACUUUAAGUUGGGAGGCGUUACCAACAGAGUAAGCACCGGCUAACUUCGUGCCAGCAGCCGCGGUAAUUC
rnacentral:rRNA from 1 species